CUGGUGUCUAAUUUAUCCAGCCAGGCUAAUGGCUGGAUAAAACUCUAAGGAGACAUUCUUUCACAAGCCACACCUAAACUAUUAAGACACUCUGCUGGCUUUUCUCUUGAAAUACGUGCUGAUGGUGGAGCCAUGGGUCUUGUCCACCUGUUCUGAAUUCAACAAAGGAUCAAGACCUACAAUUCAGUCCUAUUAGCCUUCAAAUGCAUGGGAAUUCUUCCUAGAUUCUUCUAUACCGUGAGUGUUAGGAACAGUUCUUUUUGCACAUAUUUAGAACACAGAGUCGUCGAUGACUUAACAGUGAUGACACGUGACACCAGAAAUAUCACCUCUACCCAUCUCUGAAAAUGAACACAAGCCUAAGCAGUAGCAACUCACUCAGCACGAGAGGUGAGAACAUUCCAGGGUCAUGGGUCAUACUGCUGUUGUAAAACUGAUGACAUCACAUAUUUGAUAUGGAACCUAAU
rnacentral:lncRNA from 1 species